rnacentral:rRNA from 1 species
CCCUUAGAUGUUCUGGGCUGCACCCGUGCUACACUGGCAGGUUCAGCGAGCUUCAUGCACUGAUCUGAAAGGAAUGGGAAAUCUUUUCAAAACCUGCCGUGCUUGGGAUAGAUGUUUGCAAUUAUUCAUCUUCAACGAGGAUUGCCUUGUAAGCGCACGUCAUCAGCGUGCAUUGAAUACGACCCUGUAUUCUGUACACACCGCCCGUCGCUCCUACCGAUUGAAGUUUUCGGUGAGUUGACAGGAGGAUUUUUUUGAAACUGGUUCGCCAGUGGAUUUUAGAUCCAAAUGCCAACGAAUCGAUGGCUUUAGAGGAAGGAGAAGUCGUAACA